GACGAACGCUGGCGGCGUGCCAAAUACAUGCAAGUCGAGCGGACAGAUAAGGAGCUUGCUCCUUUGAAGUCAGCGGCGGACGGGUGAGUAACACGUGGGCAACCUGCCUAUAAGACUGGGAUAACUCCGGGAAACCGGGGCUAAUACCGGAUAGAUUCUUUCCUCUCAUGAGGAAAGAAGGAAAGAUGGUUUCGGCUAUCACUUAUAGAUGGGCCCGCGGCGCAUUAGCUAGUUGGUAAGGUAACGGCUUACCAAAGCGACGAUGCGUAGCCGACCUGAGAGGGUGAACGGCCACACUGGGACUGAGACACGGCCCAGACUCCCACGGGAGGCAGCAGUAGGGAAUCUUCCGCAAUGGACGAAAGUCUGACGGAGCAACGCCGCGUGAACGAAGAAGGCCUUCGGGUCGUAAAGUUCUGUUGUUAGGGAAGAACGUAUCCUGUGUGAAUAAUGCAGGGUAAUGACGGUACCAAAGGAGGAAGCCACGGCUAACUACGUGCCAGCAGCCGCGGUAACAC
rnacentral:rRNA from 1 species